UACGGGAGGCAGCAGUGGGGAAUUUUGCCCAAUGGGGGCAAGCCUGAUGCAGCCAUGCCGCGUGUUGAAGAAGCCCUUCGGGUGUGUAAAGCACUUUCAGCGGGGAGGAAGGCGUUAAGGUUAAUAACAACAGCGAUGACGUACCCGAGAGAGA
rnacentral:rRNA from 1 species